UAAUUAAAUCUUAACAGCCCAACAUAUAACAUUUUCACCGAAAACAGUGGAGCGAGUUGGCAAAGUGUAAUCGGAGGAACGGUGCGGUAUCGAUUACCGAACGGCGGUUUUACGUUUUCCGGCGAGAUAGGUGAACGGAGAACUAACCUCGUUUUCUCAAACGAUUCGUUUGAUUCUGGCGGUAUUGUUUUCAGUAGUUUGCGGUUGUGAAAUUUCAUUCCUGUAGCUGGCAAUACAGAUGUUUGUUUCAAAAAAAAUUGAUCUCUGCUGGAAAUAAAAUUGGUAUUUUUGUGGAAAUAAUUGAAUGUUUGAAUGUGCUUGUUUUGUAAUUGGAAUGGGUUUAAACAUUUCUCCCAGCAGUUGGAGCUUUUGGCAAAAAAAAUUGCAGUUAAGGCAUUUGUUGCUGGAAUAAUUAAAUCAACAGUGUUACAGGGUAACCAAUUGGAGUGCAGUGUCGGUACUACUUAUAUUGCAAUUAGAGAUUAUUGGUGAUUUAAAAUUGUGUAUAUUUUUAUUUUUCAGCACACCAUCUGUUUGAUAAUUUGAUUCCAAUUCUAGAAUUGGUGCCGUUUUGUUGUUUCGGUACAGAAUUUUAAAGUUUGUUGUUGAUUUGCUGCUGGUUGUUUCAGUGCUGUUUAAUGAACUUAGGUGCAAAGUUUUACGGCAGAUUUCAUGGCUUUAAUCACUUGACUUUGAAUUUGUAAUUCCCAGUGCAGUAGCUAAAUUGGUACAGUAUUUCAGUUUUACGUUGGUACUAUGAAUGAUAGGUUUAAUUGCAAUGCUGAAUUGGAAUUAACAACAAUUUAGUAGAUUCUGGAACACAUUUAGUGUUUAAUUUGCUUUGAAGUUGCACUUUGGGUCAAAUUGAAAAGUCUGUGCAGAACCAGUGUAGUGAUGAGUUGAAUUAGUGCCAACAAUUACUCUUGUGAGGAUAAUGGUGUAGUGUUCAAGCGGCAAUUCAAUUUAAUUUAUUUAGAAAGCAAAUUCUGGUGGUGGCAAGGCAAUUGACGAUUGGUGCGGAUCCGCAAGAAGUAAUUUGGAAAUAGCAAAGUAUAGGUGGCUGCUGGAACAUUCAGUACCUGAAGUUGUUCAAUUUGGCAAGAAAUUAGCAUUCACAUGGCGGGUCUAUGGUUUACUUAAUAGUGCUUUUGAAGAUCUGAAUCUUGGCACACAAGCAGAAACGUGCAGUAUUGAAGGGUGAUUUUGGUGAAAGAAUUCAGCAAUUGAGGACUUUCUGUUGGGUCCGCGAGAUUGGUAUUAGAAAAGUGGAAACAUAUUCUGCCCAAUUGCACUUUGGGCCAAAACAUAUUGGACCAUCAUUUUGUUUUUGGUCUUAUGCUCC
rnacentral:lncRNA from 1 species